AUAAACGCUGGCGGCGUGCCUAAUGCAUGCAAGUCGAACGGUCUAGUUAGCAAUAACUAGGUAGUGGCAAACGGGUGAGUAACACGUGGGGAUCUGCCCAGUAGUGGGGAACAACUCCUCGAAAGAGGAGCUAAUACCGCAUACGGUACUUAUGGAGACAUAGGAUACUAAAGCCAGCAAUGGCGCUAUUGGAGGAACCUGCGGCUGAUUAGCUAGUUGGUGGGGUAAAGGCCUACCAAGGCGAUGAUCAGUAGCUGGUCUGAGAGGAUGGACAGCCACACUGGGACUGAGAUACGGCCCAGACUCCUACGGGAGGCAGCAGCAAGGAAUUUUCGUCAAUGGGGGCAACCCUGAACGAGCAACGCCGCGUGGGCGAAGAAGUCCUUCGGGAUGUAAAGCCCUUUUCCCUUUGAAGAAAGAAAGACGGUAGGAGGGGAAUAAGCAUCGGCUAACUACGU
rnacentral:rRNA from 1 species